rnacentral:rRNA from 1 species
UGGGGAAUAUUGGACAAUGGGCGCAAGCCUGAUCCAGCCAUGCCGCGUGAGUGAUGAAGGCCCUAGGGUUGUAAAGCUCUUUCACCGGUGAAGAUAAUGACGGUAACCGGAGAAGAAGCCCCGGCUAACUUCGUGCCAGCAGCCGCGGUAAUACGAAGGGGGCUAGCGUUGUUCGGAAUUACUGGGCGUAAAGCGCACGUAGGCGGACAUUUAAGUCAGGGGUGAAAUCCCGGGGCUCAACCCCGGAACUGCCUUUGAUACUGGGUGUCUAGAGUUCGAGAGAGGCGAGUGGAAUUCCGAGUGUAGAGGUGAAAUUCGUAGAUAUUCGGAGGAACACCAGUGGCGAAGGCGGCUCACUGGCUCGAUACUGACGCUGAGGUGCGAAAGCGUGGGGAGCAAAACAGGAUUAGAUACCCUGGUAGUCCACGCCGUAAACGAUGGAAGCCAGCUGUCGGCAAGUUUACUUGUCGGUGGCGCAGCUAACGCAUUAAGCUUCCCGCCUGGGGAGUACGGUCGCAAGAUUAAAACUCAAAGGAAUUGACGGGGUCAUAGCUGUUUCCUG